CCUGCACAUUAAAAUCAGACUCAGGGAUUUCUCAGGAGACCACUUGGGUCUCCAGCCCAGGUCAGACCCUCCCUAGUAAUGCCCCUGCACAUUAAAAUCAGACUUGGGGAUUUCUCAGGAGACCACUUGGGUCUCCAGCCCAGGUCAGACCCUCCCUGGUAAUGCCCCUGCACAUAGGCCCUCCCGCAAUCGCGGGCUCACGAGUACUCCCCAUUAACAACGACUAGAUGUCUCUUCUUUACCCCCACCUUUCGGUGGACACCCUUAAUCAAGC